AAAGUCGUAACAAGGUCUCCGUUGGUGAACCAGCGGAGGGAUCAUUACAGAGAAUUAAAAACCUCUAAACCCAUGUGAACAUACCUGUUGUUGCCUCGGUCGUGAUGGCUACUUGGUGACCUACCCUGUAGGUGUUACCCUGUAACACUGUAACACCUACCCUGUAGAGGUUACCCUGUAGGGCCUACCCUGUAGUCGGCGGCCGACGGACCUUAAAACUCGUUUUAACAGUGGCGCUCUGAGUAUAUACAAAAUAAGUUAAAACUUUCAACAACGGAUCUCUUGGUUCUG
rnacentral:misc_RNA from 1 species